GACCAUGGCUCAGGAUGAACGCUAGCGACAGGCUUAACACAUGCAAGUCGAGGGGCAUCAUGAGGUAGCAAUACCUUGAUGGCGACCGGCGCACGGGUGAGUAACGCGUAUGCAACCUGCCCGAUACCGGGGUAUAGCCCAUGGAAACGUGGAUUAACACCCCAUAGUACUUUUAUCCUGCCUGGGAUGGGAGUUAAAUGUUCAAGGUAUCGGAUGGGCAUGCGUCCUAUUAGUUAGUUGGCGGGG
rnacentral:rRNA from 1 species